rnacentral:misc_RNA from 1 species
CGCACAUUGCGCCCAUCAGUAUUCUGGUGGGCAUGCCUGUUCGAGCGUCAUUUCAACCCUUAAGCCUAGCUUAGUGUUGGGAAUCGACCGUAGAGUCGUUCCUUAAAGACAGUGGCGGAGCGGCAGUGGUCCUCUGAGCGUAGUAAAUUUAUUUCUCGCUUUUGUCAGGCCCUGUCCUCCCGCCAUAAAACCCCCAAUUUUUUAGUGGUUGACCUCGGAUCAGGUAGGAAUACCCGCUGAACUUAA